rnacentral:misc_RNA from 1 species
GAUGAAGAACGCAGCGAAAUGCGAUAAGUAAUGUGAAUUGCAGAAUUCAGUGAAUCAUCGAAUCUUUGAACGCACAUUGCGCCCCCUGGUAUUCCGGGGGGCAUGCCUGUCCGAGCGUCAUUACAACCCUCAAGCUCAGCUUGGUAUUGGGCCCCGCCGACCCGGCGGGCCCUAAAGUCAGUGGCGGUGCCGUCCGGCUCCGAGCGUAGUAAUUCUUCUCGCUCUGGAGGUCCGGUCGUGUGCUCGCCAGCACCCCCCAAUUUUUUUCAGGUUGACCUCGGAUCAGGUAGGGAUACCCGCUGAACUUAAGCAUAUCAAUAAGCGGAGGA